rnacentral:rRNA from 1 species
UGAGGAAUAUUGGUCAAUGGACGGAAGUCUGAACCAGCCAAGUAGCGUGCAGGAUGACGGCCCUAUGGGUUGUAAACUGCUUUUGUAUGGGGAUAAAGUCAAUCACGUGUGAUUGUUUGCAGGUACCAUACGAAUAAGGACCGGCUAAUUCCGUGCCAGCAGCCGCGGUAAUACGGAAGGUUCGGGCGUUAUCCGGAUUUAUUGGGUUUAAAGGGAGCGUAGGCCGGAGAUUAAGUGUGUUGUGAAAUGUAGACGCUCAACGUCUGACUUGCAGCGCAUACUGGUUUCCUUGAGUACGCACAACGUUGGCGGAAUUCGUCGUGUAGCGGUGAAAUGCUUAGAUAUGACGAAGAACUCCGAUUGCGAAGGCAGCUGACGGGAGCGCAACUGACGCUGAAGCUCGAAGGUGCGGGUAUCGAACAGGAUUAGAUACCCUGGUAGUCCGCACAGUAAACGAUGGAUGCCCGCUGUUGGUACCUAGUAUCAGCGGCUAAGCGAAAGCAUUAAGCAUCCCACCUGGGGAGUACGCCGGCAACGGUG